rnacentral:rRNA from 1 species
AUUGAACGCUGGCGGCAGGCUUAACACAUGCAAGUCGAGCGGAGAUGAGGUGCUUGCACCUUAUCUUAGCGGCGGACGGGUGAGUAAUGCUUAGGAAUCUGCCUAUUAGUGGGGGACAACAUUCCGAAAGGAAUGCUAAUACCGCAUACGUCCUACGGGAGAAAGCAGGGGAUCUUCGGACCUUGCGCUAAUAGAUGAGCCUAAGUCGGAUUAGCUAGUUGGUGGGGUAAAGGCCUACCAAGGCGACGAUCUGUAGCGGGUCUGAGAGGAUGAUCCGCCACACUGGGACUGAGACACGGCCCAGACUCCUACGGGAGGCAGCAGUGGGGAAUAUUGGACAAUGGGGGGAACCCUGAUCCAGCCAUGCCGCGUGUGUGAAGAAGGCCUUAUGGUUGUAAAGCACUUUAAGCGAGGAGGAGGCUACCGAGAUUAAUACUCUUGGAUAGUGGACGUUACUCGCAGAAUAAGCACCGGCUAACUCUGUGCCAGCCGCCGCCGUAAUAC